rnacentral:rRNA from 1 species
UACGAAGGGGGCUAGCGUUGUUCGGAAUUACUGGGCGUAAAGCGCACGUAGGCGGCUUGUUAAGUUAGGGGUGAAAUCCCAGGGCUCAACCCUGGAACUGCCUUUAAUACUGGCAAUCUCGAGUCCGAGAGAGGUGAGUGGAAUUCCGAGUGUAGAGGUGAAAUUCGUAGAUAUUGGGAAGAACACCGGUGGCGAAGGCGGCUCUCUGGACCGAUACUGACGCUGAGGCGCGAAAGCGUGGGGAGCAAACAGG